ACCAAAUCUUAACUGUCUGCACACAGAAAAGCACUGUCACAGGAACCAAAAAUCAGUGACAAGCAGUGUUAAGAUGUUUUGGGUACUUCAGUCAACAAGCUGCCAUCUUCAACAUGGGGCAUACAGAGCAGUUUUCAAGCCUCUAUAGAAGUCAUCUUACAGCGAGUCUGAGCCAGUGAAAUGCAGUUAUAGUGAUAUGUGUACUCCCAAGGUAGCUGUCAAUGCUCCUACUCGGAAAUACUCAUAUGUUGCUUCUGACUUGAAGCAGAGGAACUCACAACCUAAGAAGCCACAGGCUUGAAGAUGGCAGAGCACAAGAUGGCAGAAGUUUGGAAUGAAUUACUACUUGAAAGAGAAGCUCUUAUUUACCAAGAAAUAUAUUUUGGAAUUUGCAUGAGUAAGAAAUAAAUCCAAUUAUGCUAACAUU
rnacentral:lncRNA from 10 species